rnacentral:piRNA from 1 species
UGGCACUAACGCCUGCUGACUG